GCCUUUGUGUCUUGGAAUGCGACUGUCCAGAGUGUGCCGCCACCACCGUCUGCUCUGAGAGCCCACCAGUCCUGAAACCCCUGGCUGGACUCGAUUUCCCCUUUUGGGGGUCCCUCGCUUUUUCUUUCCUUCUUUCUUUCUUUCUUUUUUUCAUUUGAUCGCCUUUUUUCCUUUUACACGUAUCUGGUUGAUUUCGCUCCCGGAGCUUGGAAAUAAAGGAACCGCAAGCAGUCAUCCUCGCUGGGGCGUCUCUGCCCCUCGCCCCGAGGCCUGCUCCGCCCUCCUAGAGACACUGUGCAAAGGACCUGCCGCGAUCUCCCCCCUGUUCAGGCGCAUUUCUGGGCUCGGAACAUCUCCGCUCACGCAGAUGCACGCUCCGAGGCUCCCGCGACCUCCUGCCCGCGGCGCGCACCCUAAACUCCUCGCUCCUCUUACCCUGCCGCUGGCUCCGCACCGCCUAUUCCGACGCCGCCUGCAGGACUUUGGGGUGGGACGCUGACUUCUCCCGACUGUUUGCCCCCUGGUUUGUAGCUCACCCCUCUCCCUCUCUCUCUCUCUCUCUCAUGCGCGCGCUCUCUCCACCUCUCCCUCCCAGCCAGUGAGGUCCUGUUCUCCGUGGGCCAUAGACAAAACAUUCCUAUAAUCCGAUUUCAAAGGAAAGAGUGUCCACCUUAUUUAAACCAUAAAACAAUUAAGCCCAGACGUCUAGCCAGCUCCGCGCUGCUGUUUUGUUCGGCCCCAUUCAGAAUCCAGCGCAGGGAGACAAACAACGCCAUAAAAGUGGCAUUUCGGGGCUGCGGAAAUGUACCUAUCCGCUGCCUUCCCAAGUGGAACAACCUUUAGGGUUUUGUGAUUCUGACAAAGGAGCAAAGGAGAGGUGGGAGGGGAAGAUUAGGGCAGGAGGGCGUUUGCUAGCCCCUCUUUCCCCCCACCCCACCCCCAGCUUUCGUUUCUUUCUAGAUGUGUGUUGUGUUAUGGUUUUAAUUCACAAAUUGUAAUAAAUAAAAAAAACUGAAUCCAAUCCUGA